rnacentral:rRNA from 1 species
UACGUAGGGCGCAAGCGUUGUCCGGAAUUAUUGGGCGUAAAGAGCUCGUAGGCGGUCUGUCGCGUCGGCUGUGAAAACCCGAGGCUCAACCUCGGGCCUGCAGUCGAUACGGGCGGCCUCGAGGGGGGUAGGGGCAUCUGGAACUGUGGGUGGAGCGGUGAAAUGCGUUGAUAUCCACAGGAACUCCGGUGGCGAAGGCGAGGUGCUGGACCCCAUCUGACGCUGAGGUGCGAAAGCCAGGGGAGCGAACGGG